AAGCCUGAGCGUUCUGUCGCGCCUGGCUGACCAAUGGGUCGGUCGGGUGAGGAAAGUCCGGACUACACAGGGCAGCACACCUGCCGAAAGGCAGGGCAGCAGUCGUAAAGGGCUGCUGACAGAUAGUGCCACAGAAAACAUACCGCCUGCAUUCUGAUGAGUGCAGGUAAGGGUGAAAAGGUGGAGUAAGAGCCCACCGCUACGACCGGUAACGGCGUAGGCAUGGCAAACCUUGUGCGUAGCAAGGCCAAAUAAACUGCCAAGGGUCUGCUUAAAGCAGACCGUCGCACUGGCCCGGUGCGUAUGAGCAGUGGGUAGGCCGCAACAGAUAAAUGACAGAAACCCCUAAAGGGGUACAGAAUCCGGCUUACAGCUCAGGCUUUUCG
rfam:Schleiferia thermophila str. Yellowstone contig00003, whole genome shotgun sequence.